UACGUAGGGUGCGAGCGUUAAUCGGAAUUACUGGGCGUAAAGCGUGCGCAGGCGGCUUUGCAAGACAGAUGUGAAAUCCCCGGGCUCAACCUGGGAACUGCAUUUGUGACUGCAAGGCUAGAGUACGGCAGAGGGGGAUGGAAUUCCGCGUGUAGCAGUGAAAUGUGUAGAUAUGCGGAGGAACACCAAUGGCGAAGGCAAUCCCCUGGGCCUGUACUGACGCUCAUGCACGAAAGCGUGGGGAGCAAACAGG
rnacentral:rRNA from 1 species